CGUGCAGACCGGGAAAGAAAAAAGCUGAGGCGCCCUUCUGCAUUGAAAACAUUUAUUUUACAACAGUGGUUUGUUUCCGAUAACUUAGCAAUCUUUAUUUUAGUUUAUAUUCAGACAUACAAUACACAAAUUACCAUGCUAAAACAUAAAAUAAUUCCUUCUUGCCGAAACCGCGUGUAUGUACAGGAGCUCAGUAGUAUCGAGUGUUACAACCCACGAAGGUCAGACAGCCACGUCUACUUACAUACAAUUCAAAGUAUGGUCCUUUAGUAACAUAACAAAAUAUAUAUAUGUCUAUAUUAUAAUUGCUUUUCAGAUGCAUUUAUACCUCCAUUGUGGUUGGGUUUGUUGGGUUUUGGGUUUUGUUUGUUUUUUUACAAUUUUGUUAUUUUUUUAAAGAUGGGCUCUCUCCCCACCCCACCCAAGGUGCAAACACAGAACACGUUCUCUGCCGGUGCCCUCCGCCCCCCCGGGCUCCCUCAAGAGGCCACCACCACCAAACCCCACCGGGAAUUACUGCCUUCAGGGCCUUUGCUCACGUGCAAAAUGAACGUUAAACCGCCUGGGACGCCUGUGGGAACACAAACCAAAGCACCCACAGCUGGCUCUGGGAAGGAAGGAGAGAGGAAGGAGAGAGGAAGGAGAGAGGAAGGAGAGAGGAAAGAGAGAGGAAAGAGAGAGGAAAGAGAGAGGAAAGAGAGAGGAAAGAGAGAGGAAAGAGAGAGGAAAGAGAGAGGAAAGAGAGAGGAAAGAAAGGAGAGGAAAGGAAAGGCAGUGCUGGGCUCAGAGAGCAGCCAGGCGAGGGAACGCCGAGUGUUCGGAACUUGGCAAACCUCAGACUUCAUCCACUGCCACGGACACAAACAGAACGAAAGGAAUCCCCCCCUCCCCCCAGCCCCAGUGUCCCCCCAUCUCUGCAGAACCCCCCAUGUUUUGUCCAACAGGAGAAGCCCCUGGAAGGGAAGGUGCAGGGAGAGCUGUGGGCUCAACCCAGCACAACCAGAGGAGGUUGGGUAG
rnacentral:lncRNA from 1 species